rnacentral:rRNA from 1 species
UUUAUCGGAGAGUUUGAUCCUGGCUCAGGACGAACGCUGGCGGCGUGCCUAAUACAUGCAAGUCGAGCGGACAGAUGGGAGCUUGCUCCCUGAUGUUAGCGGCGGACGGGUGAGUAACACGUGGGUAACCUGCCUGUAAGACUGGGAUAACUCCGGGAAACCGGGGCUAAUACCGGAUGGUUGUUUGAACCGCAUGGUUCAAACAUAAAAGGUGGCUUCGGCUACCACUUACAGAUGGACCCGCGGCGCAUUAGCUAGUUGGUGAGGUAAUGGCUCACCAAGGCAACGAUGCGUAGCCGACCUGAGAGGGUGAUCGGCCACACUGGGACUGAGACACGGCCCAGACUCCUACGGGAGGCAGCAGUAGGGAAUCUUCCGCAAUGGACGAAAGUCUGACGGAGCAACGCCGC